rnacentral:lncRNA from 1 species
AAGAUUUCUAUUCACCAAAAAGAUAGAGCCGCCAUCAGCAAGCACUGACGAGUAGCACAGUCUCAGCCGAUGCAUCGACGAGCUGAGGCGGGCUUCCAAUAGAGAUCAGAAACAAGGAAUGGCCUUUUGAGCUGGUAGAGGGAUCACUAGACGUGGUGUUCAUGUUUGUGUUGGCUUACAUGCAGAAAUAAGGAGGAUAGUAAGACUCUUGGAGGUCAUGUCUCUGCCAUUCAAGGAUUUCGAUAUCUGAAUGUUAUGACAAUAUAUAGAUAAGGGAGAUAGCCCUCCGCGUCCUGGUGGCUACUGUAUGCUGCAGCGAAGGGCACACUUCAAUUACUGUGCAGGCAGAUGCGGUGAUCCCGGGUGUGCUUUGAAUAGAUAUCAAGGACGUCAUUACCCGAGCCGUUCCUAUGAUUGAGUGAGUGGUACUUCCCUCCCACCCCACAGAUUACACUAAUUUGUUUAAUUAUUAUUGACUGGUAUGACCUAAUUAAUCUGUACACUUAGACAUGCGACCAAGGAAUGAAAACUCUUCUCCAGAGAUCUUCAAAAUAGUACAAUAUCAGGUAUUGUAGAGUACAAUUUGUUUAAGCUAAGUUUUUUUUUUUGCAUGGAAGCUAAUUUUAUAUUUGAAGUGUAAUAGAUACACAUGCCUGAAUCUGGAUACACUCCACUGCUGAUGGUAAUACUUUCCAGUCACUCACAAACAAUAAGCUUCGGCAUACAAGGCAGAGUCCAAUGCUAUUGGAUUGGGGUGCUGGUAUGCAAUUUCUUGUACAUUUUACUUCUAUAGGACUUCCAAUUACUGGCUACAAACUUUGUACAGGGCAGUCUGAGCUACCACUUGGUGAAGAUGGGAUUCAAUAUGUUCAGUGAUACCCUUUUUUGUGUGUAGGGAAUCACUGAUAUGAUACAACUAUUUGUUAUCUGAAUUUUCGAAUAUAUGUACACCCAUGGUGACGUUUCAAUGCUCAUUUAUAAAGCAUCCAUCUAUGAAUGAAUUUCUGAAUAUUACCACAUGCAAUGUGUAUGUAUGAUGAUAGUAGUACACUUGCGAUGAUGCAAAACACUUAUGAUGAUGUUAU